AGGUCGAUGCCCGAGCGAUUAAUAGGGACGGACUGUAAAUUCGUUGGCAAUAUGUCUACGCUGGUUCAAAUCCAGCUCGGCCCA
rfam:Gossypium raimondii Chr13_contig_489, whole genome shotgun sequence.